rnacentral:rRNA from 1 species
ACGAACGCUGGCGGCGUGCUUAACACAUGCAAGUCGAACGGAAAGGCCUGCUUUCCCUUGUGGAUUGCGGGUACUCGAGUGGCGAACGGGUGAGUAACACGUGAGUGAUCUGCCCCCAACUUGGGUAUAAGCCUGGGAAACUGGGUCUAAUUCCCGAUAGGACUGCAGGGUGGUGCCUGUGGUGGAAAACGAUUUUCUAGUGGUUGGGGAUGAGCUCGCGGCCUAUCAGCUUGUUGGUGGGGUAAUGGCCUACCAAGGCGGCGACGGGUAGCCGGCCUGAGAGGGUGGACGGCCACAUUGGGACUGAGAUACGGCCCAGACUCCUACGGGAGGCAGCAGUGGGGAAUAUUGCACAAUGGGCGGAAGCCUGAUGCAGCGACGCCGCGUGGGGGAUGACGGCCUUCGGGUUGUAAACUCCUUUCGGCCGCGAGGAAGCCACCUGGUUGGAAGGGUGGUGACGGUAGUGGUAGAAGAAGCACCGGCUAACUACGUG